AUGAUGGGAGAAGUUCAUGAGAACCAGAAGAAAACAAGUAUUCAUCUUCAAGGACAAUCUGGAGAACCACUAGCUGGUCAGCUUCACCUUGAUCACUGUGAAGGCUCCUCAUCUCUAAAUAUGAAACAGACUUGGAAAGAGAAGAGAGAAGGUGACCCAGGUGAUUGGCUUCCUGGUACGCAAGAGACCAUAACAGAUAGGCACCAGGU